UACGGAGGGGUUAGCGUUGUUCGGAAUUACUGGGCGUAAAGCGCACGCAGGCGGCUUGUUAAGCUAGAGGUGAAAGCCCGCGCUCAACGUGGGAACUGCCUUUAGAACUGGCAGGCUAGAGUCUUGGAGAGGGAGUGGAAUUCCAGGUGUAGCGGUGAAAUGCGUAGAUAUCUGGAGGAACAUCAGUGGCGAAGGCGGCUCCCUGGCCAAAAGACUGACGCUCAUGUGCGAAAGUGUGGGUAGCGAAACAGGAUUAGAUACCCGUGUAGUCC
rnacentral:rRNA from 1 species